rnacentral:lncRNA from 1 species
AUAGAUAUAGGUAUAAUUCUAACUUUUUAUUCUACUCCAAUUCAUAAUUAACAUGAAUUAGUCUUAUACAUGAAAAACCCCACCUGCAUAAUUAACGGUGUAGAAGUAUUCAAAUUAGAUAAAAUUUUAAUACAAAAUUCUUUAUACUAUCUACACCAAGAUCAAUAUUUCUGAUCGAAAAUUUUAGUGCUAUAUCACCACUUUUUAUAGAAUUUUUAUUUUCAGCCGUUAAAAAUUAUAGAUUCUGAAUCCUUUCGAUUGCUAGGUAAAUGAUAUUGAAAAAUCGCAAAAAUUAUUUUCUAGAAACUUCAAAUACGCUAGAUCAAAUCUAACGGAGCCGAUCGUCGAUUCGGAAAUUCCAUCAUCGAAAACGGUUCCGUGUUCCUAAGAGCACAGCAGUCGUGCUCUAUAUAUCUAUAUAUAUAGAACUUGGCCCAAUUCUAUUCCUAAUUCAAGUCAAAUUAGGCUAGUCUAAUUCAUAUACAACUUAAUUUGAAUCCACCAAUAAGAAUCCUCUUGAGGUCCUGUCUAUUAUACUAUAGACCCGGUGCAUAGAUCAAAUCAAUAAAAAGGAAGGCAUAAUCUCUAACAGAAAUGCCACUUGAUCAUCCCUCGUAUUAAAACUUCUCUUUGGCAAGCUUUGGUAGAGGCGCUUUCUACGAACGUGGCUAUCAAAAAAAGAAUUCAUGCUUGGGAUUUGGUGUGUCCUCUAUGCAACCUACAUGGUGAAACUGCUAAAUAUCUUCUAUUGUUGUAUGAUUUCUCUCGGGUAGUUUGGAUGGCUUCUCUAGUAUGUCAUAAAUUUGAAUCUAAGCCUAAUUCCCUUCUUGAUUGGGUGCUUUUUCUCAAAGAUUCUUUGUAUUCUCAGGAUGAUAUUUCUCUGAUCUUUAUCGUUUGCUGGAUUUUCAAUGUUAUAAGUAAGGCCAACAGUAUUAUUUCAAUCUCUUUCAAUCUCUAAAAAGAGCAUCCCAAUAGCACGAUGCUUCUAAUGUGCGCAUACAACUCUCAAAAGCAGCAGUGCGAAUUAAAUGUGAUAUUGAGUGUUGGAUUGCGGCUUCCUGGAAUGUUGGCUUACAUGAGAUGAGGAUGUUCUUUCACAGUAAAGUUCUAUCCCAAUAAUGUUAGUGACCUCAUUUAUGCCAGCUCGACUACCGAAGGAAUAUUAUAUACUAUCUUACGGGCUCUUCAAAUUAUUAGUUCAUGGCCAGCUUUUCGGACUAUAAUUUACUGUGAUGCUUGAAAUGAGUUUACUACUAUUCUUUCUACUAACACACCAUCAAAUUGGGCCUACGCUCCUCUCAUUAACGAUUGUAGAACUUUAUUGGGAUUGCAUCUAAAUAUUACCAUCUCCUAUGUCAGAAGAGAUCAAAAUAUAGAUACUCAUAAUGUUGCCGAUGCAAUUUACGAUCGUGUUCAUCUAUUGUCUAACUUGUUUUGUCAUCUUUGGCGUACUUCUACUUUGCUAAUAAAACAACCUACGGGUUUUCCCUCAAAAACAAAAAAAACAAAAACAAAAAGUGGCUCGAGUUGUGAUGCAUGGCAAUAUCCUAUUUUUUUUUGCAAUGUUGCACAUUCCAAUAAACAGUGAAACAAAAUAUAGUAGAAUAAAAAACAUUCCAAGGAGAAAAAAAAAAAAGAAAAAAAGAACAGCAUCAUGAAGACUGAAAAAAAUAAAAUACAUAAUGAAGGUUCAAUUUGUGGCGGUAACAUUCUACGUUGCUUGCAUGCUGAUCCCAAAUUUAAACUAAUUUAGUAUCAUAUAUAGUUGGAGAGUUUUUCUGCUAGGAUUGAUCAAUGCAUCGCAGAUGCAUCAUGAGAACCAAAACUCUGAUUGAUCAGUUAGAGAGUUUCUUCUUCGCACGCAGCUUCUUCGCAAGGCUCUAAUCAUCUCGGGACAUGGCUUCUCGAAGAAAAUUGUGAAGCUCCCUCAGGAAAGCUGUUCUUGAUUUCUCCUCUUCGCCGUGCUCGCCCUGCAGAAUAGGCGGCGUCGCAGCCGCCAAGAUGCCCCCGGUUCCACAAAAGCUCUUCAGAGAGACCAGGCUCGGCUUGUAGUCCCCAAAAAUCUGCCAUUUCUUCGGAACACCGGACAUUACACAAUCCCAGGAUUGUGGUGAUGAGUUAUUUCCGAAUGACGACUUUCGCGUAUCGUAGAUCGCCAAUUUAUAACCGUACUGCAAAACAAAUAAGAACUUAUUGCCAACGCAUACGCUUGUUUCGUCAAAGUUGGCGCGAAAUGGCAGUUUGUAUGUGCAUAAAUGCUCCCAUUGGUUGUGCUCGUAGUCUUUCAGCACCCACAGUUCUGCCAGCUCGCUCGAAAAUUUUGCAGCCAUCAUAGCAAGCUGUCCUGCAAACUCGAAGGUGCAGAUNGCUCUCAUCUGGAGGUUCCGUAUAACCUCCUUCCACAAUACUCCAAAGUCCUUGUGCGAUGAGCAAUGUUCUCAUCUUAAUUUUCCAAAAUUCAUAAUUUUCUCCUCCAAAAAUUGGAAGAGCGGCUUGAGUAACUCCUUGGUUACUGCCUACAACGGAAGCCAUAUAUAACUUCCUUUUUACUUCAAAUUAUAGAAAACCCGACGUCAAAUCUAGGCUCUGAUACCAAUUUGUUGGCUUUGGAGGAAAAGUAUUUAACUAUAUAGAGAAUAAGUAAAGGAGGCUAUAAUAGACAAGAGAAAAGAGUCUUAAUCAUAUAAAAAUUACAUAAUCGUGAUUGAAUUUCAAUUGAUCUUAUGAUUACAAUGAAGGAGAAGAACUCCUUUUAUAGCCUUCAAUUGUGAGAGUUUUAGAUCUAAAUUUUCAUAACUUACAAUUAAUAGCUUUAAGAGUUUCUUAUUCAAUAUGUAACUCUAAAAAUUGCUAACUCCAUAUAUGAUAAUUUAUUCUUGAGAAAGUGCAUUAACUUCCAACAGGGGAGAGGGAGGUGGAGUGAGGAAGAGACAGAGCCGGGAGAGAGAAAGGGAGAGACCAAAGAGAAAAAAUAAGGGGCCCACCGAAGCCCCCGCAAAACGCGGGGAGGCCUCGGUGAGAACUCUCGAUUCAAUAGAUUUAUAGAUACUAGUGAAGUACUCGCGCAUUGCGGCGAAAUAAUUCCGUAGAAAUAAAUAUAUAAAUAAAAUAAAAAAUAGUAAAAAACAAGUCAAAAAAAUUAUAUAAAAAAAUAACUAAAAAAUAAACAACUAUUGCUGUAAUAAAAAUAUAAAAAUAAAUUAUAAAAAAGAUUAAAAAAAAAUAAAUGCAAAAACCAUACUAAUAAGAAAUUAUAUAUAAUUAUAUUUAUAAUUAUAUAUAAUUUUUAGAAAAAAUAAUUUAUUGUUUUUACAUUUUUGCCUCUAUUCUUCUUUUAUCUAUCUAUCCUUUUAUUUUUAUUUUUAUUUUUUUACUUUUUAUGUUUCAUUUUUAAAUUUCCUUCCUUAUUUUUUUAUAUAUUUUAAUUUUUAUUCAGCUUAAUUAAUAAUUUAUAUUUGAAUACAAAUAAUUAACUUAUUUAAAAAUUAUUAUAUAUUUUAAAUCUUUUAUAAAAAAAAUAAAAAUUUAGAUUGAAUAAAAAAAAAAAUUAUAAAUUUUUUUAAUCAUUAUAUUGCAAGAGAACAAAUAAUAUAAAAAAAUUAAAGAGAAAAAUUAAAGAGACAAAUAAGUAGACAAACAAAAAAAAAAAUCUAUCCCUCUCUCCCUCUACCGCUCUCCUGUUGGCCCCACCCUCUCUCUCCUUCUCCUUUCCUCUCUCCACGUGCCACGCGGCGCCGGCCGCCCCGCGCACUGCAAUGAUUGUAGUUAGAAAGGAAUUCAUUGAGGCGGACGGUGGGUCAAUUAUUGUAUAUGCAGCAGAAAGGCGCGCUUUGCCCACGCCAGCGCUGCGCCGCCCCGCGCGCGGGCUCGCCGCCGAUGCGCGCCAUCCGCCUGCCCUGCCCCCGGCUCACUCCUCGCCCCGAGCCGCGCCGGCCCGCAUCGUCGCCACCUGUCUCAAAACAGAGGAUUCAUAUAUACUAUAGAUAUAGGUAUAAUUCCAACUUCUUAUUCUACUCCAAUUCAUAAUUAACAUGAAUUAGUCUUAUACAUGAAAAACCCCACCUGCAUAAUUAACGGUGUAGAAGUAUUCAAAUUAGAUAAAAUUUUAAUACAAAAUUCUUUAUACUAUCUACACCAAGAUCAAUAUUUCUGAUCGAAAAUUUUAGUGCUAUAUCACCACUUUUUAUAGAAUUUUUAUUUUCAGCCGUUAAAAAUUAUAGAUUCUGAAUCCUUUCGAUUGCUAGGUAAAUGAUAUUGAAAAAUCGCAAAAAUUAUUUUCUAGAAACUUCAAAUACGCUAGAUCAAAUCUAACGGAGCCGAUCGUCGAUUCGGAAAUUCCAUCAUCGAAAACGGCUCAGGAGCGCGGAGGCUUCCAUGCUCCUAAGAGCACAGCAGUCAUGCUCUAUAUAUCU